GUGCACUGAACAGAGGCAGCAAGUGAGCAGAACAACUCAUCAUGACGGCUUUUUGUCCUUGUCUCCAUGCAAGCCAGGUGUUAUUUCUGUGGUUUCGGACGUUGGUAUUGAUGCACGGUUUUUUAAAAGGGGAGGCUAAAGUCCCAGAGUUUGGUAGACUGCACCUCUCCAGAUGAGAUUUUAAGAGCCCCCGAUUUUCACACAUGGGGAGAGUGAUUGCCCUCACAAACUCUUCCUCCUCAUUGUGGUUUCUAGGUUUUCACUUUGUCAGACAUUUUGAGUUUCGAUCACAAACACUCCACGUUCACAUCACCCAUGCAUGCUGCCCACCCGUAUCCACAAGGCUGCUGUGUCUACUCUGCUCCUGUUUUCCAAAGCACCCCUUCCAUCAGGAAAUGUGCCUUCCAUUCCUAGGGAUGUCAUGAUUCCCAGCUUUCAUAUCUCCUCACAGAGGAGGUUCCCAAAUUACUCUGGGUUCUCAGUCCAGAAGUUGAGCCUUUAAAACCCUUUUCUGUCAUAUGGUCAGUCCGUUGCAGGGUGCAGCCCCUCAGCAGCCAAGAUUCCCUGUGGAUAGCUCUUCAAUCUGAUUGCCUGGGCUUUCUCCAUCAUGAAACCUUUCAUCUCCUUGGUCCUUGUCACACACCCUGAACCCCAAAAUAGAAAAGCCACAACAGAAUGAAGUAGAUGAGAAACAAUCUCCUUGUUUAUAAUUCCGUUUAUUUCCUCACAUACCAGCCAAGCUUCUCAGUCAGGCAGACACAAUAGAUGGAAUGGCAAGGGAAGUGAAGAGUGGAGGCUGCAUCCCUUCAGCCGCCAGCUGAUGUUCUGCUUAUUUCGCAUACCGGAACUCCCAGGCGUCCUCAAACCACAAUCACAGUUGUUGGUUCCAGAAACAUCUUCUUUGGAAAAACAUGUGACAUCAGUUUCCUCAGAGUCUUCCGGACAAUCCAGUCACACAGAACUGACAAAACCUUGUCAGGUGAGAAGAUAAGGAUCUUCUUCAAUACAGAAUAUGUCAACAUCUCCUUCUGAAUAGUUCCGUUUAUUUGCUCACAUACCAGCCAAGCUUCUCAGUCAGCAGGCACAAUAGACUGAAUAGGAAGGGAAGUGAAGAGUGAAGUCUGGAUCCGUUUAGCCUCCAGCUGAUGUUCUGCUUAUUUCCUGUACUGGAACUCUCAGAAGUCCUCAAACCACAAUCACAGUUGUUGGUUCCAGAAACAUCUUCUUUGGAAAAACAUGUGACAUCAGUUUCCUCAGAGUCUCCCGGACAAUCCAGUCACGCAGAACUGACAAAACCUUGUCCAGUAAGAAGGUAAGAAUCUUCUUCAAUAGAGAAUACGUCAACGUCUCCGUGAACGAAGAGAUCUGCUGGUUCCAAGGACUUGUCGUGGAUUUCUGUCCUAGAUACUUUCUUCCGUAAUUCAAGAUAAAGAAAAUUACAAUCUCUGCUGUCCAUUCCAUCGCUUUUCCCUUCAGAAUCAUAAUCAGAGAAUCCUUGCAGAACGUCGUGAGUGUGCUCUCAGCUGCAAUCACCAGAAGGACUCUUCACACUCGGUGAGUCCUCCUCAUUUUAUAGAAGCCAAAGCAGUGACGUAUGCUCACCCCUCCCGCCCCCAGGAGAGAGGUUGCUGGCCAAUGAGCUUGAGCUUCGUCAUCCUUCCAAGCCCCACCCAGUUCCUUUGCUUCCCUUUCACCAACUUUGACUGAAAUGAAUAGGUUACAACCUUUAGCUUUCUGCCCCUUGGAAAACGGAAGCAUUUAGACAUCCGUAUUAAUAUUUGGAUCUAGAGUGUUCGUGUUUUAGCACUUCCUUUUUUGAAAGGAGAAGCAGACGUGUUGUGUUUUUAGGAACACUUCCAAGAAGUUUCUCCUCCUCUAUGAUGAAACCAACACAAGAAAGCCAAAAGGGCGUUUAACCCCUUGAAGCACUGAGAGUUUCCCUGCUGAUAUUCUUAGACUGUUCUUUUUCUAAAACGAGAAAGAGGUAAGUUCUCUUUUUUUUUUUACACUGCCCAAAACUCUCUCUGCUCAGUGCUGGGCACUGGAAAACAAUGGCCCUCUCUCUGGAAACCACUAUCUGCCAUCUCAAGGGCCCACUACAGGUCUGCCCAGCAUUUUCAUCCCUUCCUCAAGUCUGGUGCCCAGGACCCUCCUCUGCUCUGACAGCCAGGCAGCAGCACUCAAACUCCCCUCCCCUCUUAGCCUUCAUACCUUCAGCUGCACUUCUGCCUCUGCAGUGUCAGGAUGACCUCCCCUUCCUCCUGUCCUUCCUCAUUCUUAAGACUUCCUACCCCUUCUGGAUUAAUUUAUGGAAAACCUAAAUAAUCUCUUUCAAAUUUUAGCCCACUUUUUACAUGUAGAUUGUUUUAUAAGAUGAAUUUUAACAAACCUUUUCUAAGUUGUUCAACCAUUUUCUUUUGUCUUUUUGUUAUUUUAUUUCCUGAAUUUAAAAUAUUUGAAAACCUCUAAACUUGACAAAACUAAUUUUUUCAUAAAAGCUAUGUUCUCAUGUCCUUUUAUAAACUUUGACUUAAAAUAUAUUUUACUUGUUCAGUCAGAUUUGUGUGUGAAAAUUUUUAAGUAGCUUUAGAUACAAAUAUUAAUUAUAAUGGUAACUCUUAAGUAUGCAUUUUUAGUAAACCACUUAGGAGACAACCAAUUUUAAUUAUGUCCUUGAUGUAGAGCUUAAAGAAAAAGAUGGAGCUGUAGAAAACAUCUUAGUCUUGAAAUAUCUUACUCUUCCCAGUAUAAGGGGGGGCAUGGCCCUAUUUCACAGGUGCCCAGGCCUUAGCUAGAAAUGGAUGGUUCCAAGACAUGUCAAAAAACUGUUUGAAAGGUUUUAGAAGUUGUUAAUGACAUGAAAAUAUUUAGUAAAGGCAGUAUUUGAUCUGUCUAAUUUGGAUCCAAUAUCUAAACUCUGAAGACAUAUUUAUUUUAUUUUGCUAAUUUUAAAAGUGGCUUUAUUUUUUAAAAUAAUGUUUAUGUUUCUUUCAAUAGUGUGUGGAAUAUAUGUGGUUUUUGGUUAUGUGGAUAAAAGUUCCUUAGUGGUAAUUUCUGAGAUUUUGAGGCAUCUGUCUCCUGAGCAGUGUAUAAUAUACCCAAUAUGUCAUCAUUUAUUCCUCAUCCCCCUCCCAACCUUUCCCCGAGUCCCCAAGUCCAUUAUAUCAUUCUUAUGCCUUUGCAUUCUCAUAGCUUAACUCUCAUUUAAAAGUGAAAACAUUCAAUAUUUGAUUUGCCAUUCCUCAGUUACUUCACUUAGAAUAAUGGCUUCCAGUUCCAUCCAACUUGUUGCAAAGGACAUUAUUUUGUUCCUUUUUAUUAUCAAGUAUUAUUCCAUGGUGUACCACAUUUGCUUUAUCCACUCGUUCGUUGAUGGGCACUUAAGUUGGUCCCAUAUCACUGCAAUUGCGAAUCGGCUGCUAUAAACAUCCAUAUUCUUGUGUCUUUUUUAUGGAAUAACUUCUUUUCCUUUGGGUAGAUAGCCAGUAAUGGGAUUGCUGGAAUGAAUGGUCUACUUUUAGUUCUUUAAGGAAUCCCCAUACUGUUUACCAUAGUGGUCGGACUAGUUUAAAUUCCCACUAGCAGUGUCAAAGUGCUCCCUUUUGACCACAUCUAUGCCAACAUCUAUUGUUUUCUGACUUUUAAAUUAUGGGCUUCUAGCAAGAUUAAGAUAGCAUCUCAUUGUGGUUUUGUUGUGGGAUUUAGGAGGAUGAGAGAGAGGCUUUGGGUUAAAACAGGAGAAUCUUUUAUUGAGUGCUCUCAGGCCCAGCAGACUCACGUCCAAAGACAGGGCCUGGAACAAAGACAGCACUUGACUUUUAUACACACUUCACAAAAGGGGGUGGGCCAGCUUGAAGCAAGCUUACAGUGGUGUGAAAGCAGGGAUACAGAGGCAGGAAAAAGACAGUUAAUCAAAUUGUAACAGGUUCAUAACUCAGGAUUGCACAUAACUGUUGCUAUGCAACCCAGAUGUCUAUUAUCUAGGUUUUGCUCUAAAGAGGCUUGCAUUGGUUUAUCUUCACUAUGGUGCCUAGAGAGCUGUAGUUCAGGCCUGCUCAGGCUUCUCAUGACCUUUGCCAUACUUCUUAGAUAAAACAGAAUACUUGAAGUUACUAGUUAAAGAGAACAAGAAUCUAUAAACUCAUACCAUAAAACAAAGGAAAAUUUGUUUUUCUUCUCCCUACAUUGAAGGAGUGCUGGAAGAGUCUCCAGAAUACAAUAAAUAAUAUUAUCAAGACUUUUCCUGGGUCUGGGCUGUGCCUGUUGCUGCCUCUGGGACAAGUUAGCUUAAUACAAGAAAGCUUAUUUCCCUUUCUUUUUAAUUUUAUUUUUCUUUAAUUUCCCACCUCAGUUUUACUUUGCAUUUCCCUGAGAAUUUUUAAUAAGUAAAAUACUUAGAAAUAUACUUAACCAAGUAGGUUAAUGUAAGUUUCCUACAAGGAAAACUACAAAAUAGUGCUGAAAGAAAUCACAGUUGACACAAACAAAUGGGAACACAUUAUAAGCUUAUGAAUAGGUAGAAUCAAUAUUGUGAAAGUGACCAUACUCUCCAAAGCCAUCUACAGAGCAGUAGAAUUCUCAUCAAAAUAUCAUCAUUCUCCUUCCCAGAACUAGAAAAAAGAAUCCUAAAAUUUAUACAAAACCAAAAACGUGACCGCAUAUCCAAAGCAAUACUUUGCAAAAAGAACAAAUCUGAAGGCAGGCUUUAAAUUAUACUACAAGGCUACAAUCACCAAAAUAGCAUGAUACUGGUAUAAAAUAUGCACAUAGAGCAAUAGAACAGAAUAGAGAACCCAGAAAUAAAGCCAAAUGCUUACAGACAACUAAUCUUCAACAAAGUACACAAAAACAUUAAUUGGGGAAAGGAUACUUUAUUCAAUAAAUGGUGCAGGAAGUAUAAAAAUAGGCACAUAGAGCAAUGGAACAGAAUAGAGAACCCAGAAAUAAAGCCAAAUGCUUACAGACAACUAAUCUUCAACAAAGUAUGCAAAAACACUAAUUGGGGAAAGGACACUUUAUUCAAUAAAUGGUGCAGGAAGUAUAAAAAUAGGCACAUAGAGCAAUGGAACAGAAUAGAGAACCGAGAAACAAAGCCCGGUACUUUCAGUCACCUGAUCUUUAACAAAGCAUAUAAAAACUUCCAUCUAAGACCUGAAAGUCUAAAAAUGCUACAAGAUAGCAUCCAAAAAGCUUUUCUAGACAUUGGCUUAGGCCAAGUAGUCAUGACUAAUGCCCCAAAAGCAAACGCAAAAAUAUAAAAAUAGAAUAAGAUCAAUAGGACCUAAUGAAACCGAAAAUCUUCUGCAAGGCAGAAGAAAUAUCAGCAGGGUAAACACACAACCCACAGUAUAGGAAACAGUAGUCACAAACUAGGCAUCUGACAAAGGACUAAUGUCCAGACUCCAAAGGAACUGAAAGAAAUCAGCAAGAAGAAAAGGUGCCAUUUACCACCUUCCUGACUCAUUGGCCAGAACCAAUGUUAGUGGAAUUAACAUAUGCCCCACCCCAAGUGACUUCUAAAGGGCUAACUCACCACAAGGGAGUCAGAGCAGAUCUUGGACUGAGACCUACAGGACACAGGUGGCUCACCAGGAGAAAGGCAUAGCAGAACCUGGACUGAGACCUACGGGAGACAGAUGCUGCCAUGGGGUUGUAGCCCCACAACUUGCCAGUCUGUAUGCUUCCCUAGAGGUUUGAGCAGCGGAGUACUAAAGAAGCAAGCCACACCCCCACUCCACCUCCUGUGAGGGGGACAAGGAAACUUUUCCCAUUUCAACUGGUGGCUCGUCUGGGAUCUCGGAAGAUCAUCCUGGCCUGCUAAGACCCAUCCUGUGCUUAUAAAAACCCCAAGACCCUAGCAGUCAGACACACAGGAGGCUUGACGUCGAGAGGAGCACAUCAGCGGAGGAACACACAGGCGGCUGGACAUGAAGAGGAACAUGACAACAGGCACCAGCACACCAGCAGGGCACCGACUUAUAGAACGAUGUGGAUUUUGCCUGGGGCAGUCAGAGGAGAGCCAGGGCUGCUGAACGGCCCCAAUCCAGGGAGAAACCAAUCUCCUUUCUGGCUCCCCCAUCUGCUGAGAGCUACUUCCACUCAAUAAAACCUUGCACUCAUUCUCCACGUCCACGUGUGACCUGAUUCUUCUGGAAUGCCAAGGCAAGAACCCUAGGAUACAGAAAGCCCUCUGUCCUUGUGAUAAGGAAUGUGUCUAAUUGAGCUAGUUACCACAAGUUGCCUAUAAAUGGCAAAACUAAAAGACCACACGACCACUGGGGCUUCAGGAACUGUAAACAUCCACCCCUACACACUGCCAGUAUGAGAAAAAUUUGCUGAUAUGUUUUCUGCUGACCUGAUGACAAUGUUCCUAUGGUCACACUAACCACUGCUGGGUAAUUUUCAUCAUGACUCUCGUUUUCAUCUGCUGAAACCAGCCUCCCCAAGAAAGACAACUAUUUUCAAACUGAGGAAAUAAAGUGUUACUAAACCACAGUGUUCUCUCAUGGCUGUUCCUGGAGUUCUUCAAAACACUUGAUAUUAUAAAAUAGAAUUAUUACAGAUCACUGUAUGUUAUGGAUUUAGUCAAAAUGAUAAUUUAAAAUAUGGUUUAAAAUAAAAAACUUUAUUUUCCAAAGAAGAUAGUUUUUUAAACAAGAAUAUCCAAUAAAGACAGUAUGAGGUCAGCUGACUUUAGUGUUGGUGUAUGUGUAUGUGUGUGUGUG
rnacentral:lncRNA from 1 species